GACGAACGCUGGCGGCGUGCUUAACACAUGCAAGUCGAACGAUGAAGAAAAGAAUUGAAGCUUCGGCAGAAAUUCAUUUCGGAUUAGUGGCAGACGGGUGAGUAACGCGUGAGCAACCUACCUCUUACAAAGGGAUAGCCUCGGGAAACCGGGAUUAAUACCAUAUAACAUUGCGACGAAGCAUUUCGAUGCAAUCAAAGCUACGGCGGUAAGAGAUGGGCUCGCGUCCCAUUAACCAGAUGGUGAGGUAACGGCUCACCAUAGUAACGAUGGGUAACCGGCCUGAGAGGGUGAACGGUCACACUGGAACUGAGACACGGUCCAGACUCCUACGGGAGGCAGCAGUGGGGAAUAUUGCACAAUGGAGGGAACUCUGAUGCAGCGACGCCGCGUGAGUGAUGAAGGAAUUCGUUUCGUAAAACUCUGUUCUAUGGGAAGAAAAGGACGGUACCAUAGGAGAAAGCUCCGGCUAAAUACGUG
rnacentral:rRNA from 1 species